AGCGGCGAAACCUCACGGAUGUACUUCACUUUGGAGGAACAGAGGAAUGAGGAAAUAUCAGAUGAUGGACGUCAAAUACAAGGCAGACAAUAUGGCCACCAUCACCAUGAGAAGGCGAAGGUGAUGGAGAUGGAUCGGGCAUGUCAUCCGAAGAGAACAGGACAACAUCACCCGAACUGCCCUUCAAUGGACAGCGGACGGAAAAUGAAAAAGAGGCAGACCAAGAACACCUGGCGUUGGACAGUGGAGAGCUGGAGACCCUACACCACACCUGGGGAACUGUUCAGACUCUGGCCUGGAACAGACAGGAGCUGUGAUCCUUUGUUGGGCAGUAAGUAAGUCAAGCUGUAGGAGACACAACCAAAGACUGAGAGAAGAAUGGAUGACAGUGAAGUGGAUUAUAAACCUGUAAACAUGUUCAAUAUUAUA